rfam:Escherichia coli ISC11, WGS project CBWP01000000 data, contig: c20
CUUUAAAAAUCUGGAUCAAGCUGAAAAUUGAAACGACACACUGUUUCAUUUCUCCGUAAUAAGAAAUGAAAGGCGGUGUGUUCGAGUCUCUCAAAUUUUCGCAACACGAUGAUGUUUUACGAAACAUCUUCGG